rnacentral:rRNA from 1 species
CGGAUUAAUUCGAUGCAACGCGAAGAACCUUACCAAGGCUUGACAUGCACGGGAAAGUUCCAGAGAUGGUUCCCCCGCUAGGUCCGUGCACAGGUGGUGCAUGGGUGUCGUCAGCUCGUGUCGUGAGAUGUUGGGUUAAGUCCCGCAACGAGCGCAACCCUUGUCUUAUGUUGCCAGCACGUUAUGGGGGGGACUCAUAAGAGACUGCCGGGGUCAACUCGGAGGAAG